AACGAACGCUGGCGGCAUGCCUAACACAUGCAAGUCGAACGAAGCCUUCGGGCUUAGUGGCGCACGGGUGCGUAACGCGUGGGAAUCUGCCCUUGGGUUCGGAAUAACAGUUAGAAAUGACUGCUAAUACCGGAUGAUGCCUUCGGACCAAAGAUUUAUCGCCCAAGGAUGAGCCCGCGUAGGAUUAGGUAGUUGGUGGGGUAAUGGCCCACCAAGCCGACGAUCCUUAGCUGGUCUGAGAGGAUGAUCAGCCACACUGGGACUGAGACACGGCCCAGACUCCUACGGGAGGCAGCAGUGGGGAAUAUUGGACAAUGGGCGAAAGCCUGAUCCAGCAAAGCCGCGUGAGUGAUGAAGGCCUUAGGGUUGUAAAGCUCUUUUACCAGGGAUGAUAAUGACAGUACCUGGAGAAUAAGCUCCGGCUAACUCCGUGCCAGCCGCCGCAGUAACAC
rnacentral:rRNA from 1 species